GAGCCAGCAUGGUGUAGUGGUUUGAACAUUAGACUAAGACUCUGGAGUCCAAGGUUCGUAUCCCUGCUGGGCCA